rnacentral:lncRNA from 1 species
AUUUACUUCUGGAGUUUUCCAUUGAAUAUUUUUGGACCUUGGGUAACUAAAACUAUGGAAAGUGAAAGUAUAGUUAAUGGAUCACUGCUGUAAUAAGAUUAAUAAUAUUAGGCUUGAGUGUUUCUGGCAAGACUGCUUAUCAUUCUUCUAAGUCACAUUUAUAAAGCACCUACCUUAUAAAGCCUUUGGUAAAGCAGUGAAAAAGUAAAGAUCCCCACCUUGCCUAGAACUCAUACCUAGCAGAAAGAGGAAAACCCUAGAUGAUAAACAUAAUAAAAGCAAACAUAUAACAAGCAACAAAUUAUUUAUUUGGAUAAUUCCAAAAGAAGUACCUAUCCAGAUGCCCCAAACCAAUCUACAACUAUGGAGGUUGAUUUGAAUGCUUUCAAUAUUUUACUUCUUAUAUCAGCCAACUAACUGAUUGACCAGUUAUAGAAACAGGAAGGGGGGUGACCAAGAAGGCUGGAUUCUUUCCUAAGAGUUUUAUUUACAAGUAACAAAACUAAUUCAAUCUGGAUUAAGCAAAGUGAGAGAAUUAAGGGGUCCCAUGGGUAUGUCAUAGAGCUCAAAGCUGGACCCAGAUUGGAGAUGGGUAUGUCCGGGGUGCACCCUGGCAAAAGGCACUACAUAUUUGAGCAAGGGAAGGGCCACACCUAUUCUGGGUAUCACCAGCCACACCUUAAUCCAGCCUGCUGAGGCCUUCACGAGAAGCUGAAAGUAGCCUGGUCACCUCUGUAGGAUCUGGAGUUCUCCCCUCUUCCUGGUCCAGGGCCCUCUCUGCCAGAGGGCACACUCAAAUAGCUAACGGUCCUCACAAAACACUUUUCACAAUUUUUUUAAAAAGUUAAAAAGAUUUUGCUGGGCACAGUGGUGUAUGCCUAUAAUCCUAGCUGUUCAGGAGGCUGAGGCUGAGGCAGGAGGAUUACGAGUUCAAGGCCAGCCUCAGCAACUUAAUGAGGCCCUAAGCAACUUAGUGAGACCCUGUCUCAAAAUAAAAAAUAAAAGGGGCUGGGGAUAUGGCUCAGUGGUUGAGCACUGGGUUCAAUCUCUGGUACCAAUAAUAAUAAUAAUAAUAAUAAUAAUAAGUUUAUAAUUUGGCAUUAGAAAUAAAUAUUAACUUGAUUUGCUUUUUGCCAUUUUUUUCCUCUUCUUUAUUUUGGAGCCAAUAACAUUUCUUUCGAGGACUCAAACAUUUGCUUAUAACAUCCAGUACUGCUAUCAAUUUUGAACCAGCCUCUCUCCCGGAUUCCAGAGCUCAGCACCCUGAAACCUCAGAUAACUGGUUCUGAUUGUUUCCUCUGCCAAAGAGCCCCAGUUGGAAUCAAUCCAAUGAUGGGAUCUGAUGACCAGAUCUGAUAAAGGGGCCAGGUAAGAACCUGAGCCGCCUUGGGGACAGGCCGUGAAUCUCAAAGCAGACACACAUUCUCCAUUAGUGACCUCCAAGGAGGCCAAUUUCAGCAGAAUCAUUAAAAGUUGAUGAUUCUGCAAAUGUCUUUUUGUCCUCUGGGCUGUGGAUGGUGGGGGAAGCAGGGAAGUGUAGUUUUCCUCUGAAAUGGAAUGAGGAGGUAGGGAAAGAAGGGCAGUAAGAUAAUCCCACACUUAACCUUAGACUGACCAUGAAAUUCAACUUCUAAGAAUUUCAAGAGACAUUCUGGAGGAAGGGAGAGCUCCAGUAACCAUGGAAAUAUUUCAAGGUCAGGAGGUGGGGAAAAGAGGUCAAGGAUUACAUACAGAAUAAGUCAGAAAGUGUACAGAAGACUGCGAUCUAGCAUUAUUUUUCCCCAAAAGAAUUUAACUCAUCUCCCUCUUUGGUCUUUGAUAUUUUAUGACAUUGGACGGACAUCACUGUGGGUCAGGCAUCCUCUUAUGUGUAUUCAGCCUGGACUGGGCUAGUGUCCAGCAUCUUCUAUGAGAAGGCCCCCAGCCUCCC